ACUGAGUGGUCCAAAGAGCGUCUGUACGUUCCAGGCAGGACUGCCAACUCCUCUCCAUUUCUCGUCUCGCCCAAUCGUUUCCAAACGGAGAACAGACGGCUCCCCACUGGUUCUUCCAUAUAUCGAACACCGAAGCCACAUCCCCGUGUUCCAAGGACAACGAAAACGACGAUGACAAAGGUCGAGGUUGCCCUUUCGCGUCUUCAGAA
rnacentral:ribozyme from 1 species